AGGCAAGACCUCUGUGUGAGUAAAAUUUAGAACCAACCACAGGAGUCAGGCUGAACUUGUAGGAACUCUGACCUGUGGAGCCAGCUACUGGAGUGGUGUCAUAAUACCAGGAACUAGAGUGAGUUGGAGCCUUUAACCUCCAUUCACUGGAGCAGGAAUGGUAUGCACCCUAAAAACCACCUGUGGAGAAAUCAACAUGACAAGAGUUGACUGAGAUGCUCAGUGCUGGCAGCUGAAGCAGACUGAUAGUGACAGCUCAGGGGUCUUGUGCCAGCUAUCUGUUCACUAGCCCACAAGAAUCUUGGUGCCUGUCCAAGCAUGCUGGGUUUGCCACGUGAUUGCUAAACACUUUCAAAAGGUAGCAUCUAUACAAUUUCCCAAUAUAUCCAUGGACAGAAGAAACCCAGAAACAGUGGAAUCGCAGAGCACAGGAGAACUCCAGAUCCUGGUGACGCACCAUAACACCUGCUCUGUCACCAGGCACGGGCUUUGGAAAAGGUGAUCAUAGCACCAAGAGAGCAGGAGCAAACUAAGAAGUAAUGAAAAUGUUCUGCUGAAAGUGGCAACGCCAUUAAAGGGCAAUUCUUGCUCUUAGCUUGAGUUUUGCUAGAGCUUCUGAACUGGUACAACAUCCUGCCUUAUCACAUACUCUGAAGGAAAUUAGUUGGAGAAGACCUCUAUUUCCAGUUUUUCUGCAACUGGCCUCAAUCCUGUGGCUGAAGCUGUUAGAGUGAAGAUACCUGGCUUGCUACUUGUCCUUGAUCACCAGCCACAGUUGCAUUCCAGGAGAGGAUACCACUGAGUAAAGCUUUUACUUCCAUGUCUACUGUACUGCCUGAAGCAAGCCAUUAUAUUCAAUGUUCUGGGCUGCCAGCUGCAAGUCAGAAAGGAGAUGCAGAGUAUGUGAACGGACAAAAUAUGAGAUAAUGUACCAAAAUUCAUUUCAGAAUCAUGAGGGUAUGAUAAUUUUUCCCACUCUCAUUACAGGAAUACAGGAAUAUUGGUUAAGGAGCAGAGU